rnacentral:rRNA from 1 species
UACAGAAGAGCCAAGCGUUGUCCGGAUUGACUGGGCGAAAGCGCACGCAGGGCGGACGCGCGCGUGGGGUGUGAAAUCUGGCCGCUUAACGGCCAGGCGCCAUCCCAUACGGCGGGUCUGGAGCCUUUGCAGAGGUCGGUGGAAUUGCCGGUGUAGUGGUGAAAUGCGUAGAGAUCGGCAGGAACACCCAGGGGAAACCAGCCGACUGGGCAAG